CGCCCCAGCUCCCCAACUUAUCCGGCGUGGCGCGCACCACCGGAGCCGUCGCCUCACCCUCCCCACCUUCUUCAUGCGCGGCGCACCCCACCCGACAUGCCGCACCACCGGGAACGGAUCCGGCCGCCUGUGGAGUGGAUCCGGACACCCCGAGUGCAGCUCUCCUCCAGCGACCAACGGGUACCGCGGCCUUCGUCAGGGUCCUGGGCCUACCCAAGCGCCACCACCGUCUCCCUGCAUUCCCUCAGCGACCUCACCACGCCGGUCAACUACCCAGUCGUUCGUCAGGUAGCAGGGGGUGCUCCACCAUGCCUCCGCCGGCGAGAUGCUGGUGGUUCCCCCUCUCUCUGUAACCUCUCUUCCACCUACCUUCUGUCGACGAUGAUUCAGUGGACGACCGUGAAGUUCGGCUGAGCCUGCAGUUCAGCUCGCCGGCGUCUCUCUUGCAGUUUUAUCAUGUGGCAUAGCUUUUUGUUAGUGGCCGAGCAGUGCGGUUCAGCAGCAGCGUAGGUUCGUUGGCUUCCAUCGUGUAGUUCGCCGUGCCUCCCUCCUGUGCGGUUCAGAGGGACCAAAAAGAGGGUGUUUGUUAUCUUUAAAAGACCGACGCAGUUCGUUAAACAGUACCGAUGUACCUGGCUCAACAGCAGGUGGUGCGGCUUUGGGUGGAGAGAGGCCAGGUCGAGCGCGGCCAUCAACGAUGACUCCUUCCGGCCUGGAUCCAUGGCUGCAGGCGGUGGCUGGGCCACCCCCUCCUCCUCCUUUCUCUCCUCACAAGGAUCCACGAUGAGCCAGGUUCAUCCAUGGUGGAUUCUGGCAUCGGUCAGGUUGCAGGCUAGCGCUGCGAUGUAAUUCGCUGUGAUACAUGGUGUGGCUCACGUGGAUGCAGUUUGGAGCAUGAGAACAUGGAGUUUUAUGUUUUAUGUUUUUUUUGCAGAUCACAUCACUCAUGUACAGAAGAAAAUGUUCGUGUGGUUUGGUUCUGGAAUACAUACAGUUUAGUUUUAGGUUCUUCAAUUCAGAUGGGGACUGCAUUGUGUGCACACAGACGUCAAAGAGGACCUGAGCCCAACUUGUUUUUAAGGGGUGGUUCCUACAGUACUAUUUUUCAGGGAUAGUUGUAAAUUCUUGUAUUUUUCAAAUGGAAAAAGAAGUCAUUUUUACCAAA